rnacentral:misc_RNA from 1 species
AUUUGCUCCAGCAAAUGACCAUGGUAGCAAAUGCUUACAAAGCCCAAACUAGAACCCCAGAUAGAGCUAUUGCUGAACUCCUGAUUGCAGGGUUUUCAGGACAGCUCAAAGGAUGAUGGGAUUAUCAUCUCAUGAACCUAUAAAAAUCUGAGAUAGAUAGAAUCCAUACAAACUCAAGAAGAUGGCGUGCCAAUUCUUGAUGAGUUAGGCCAACCAAUCCCAGAUGCAGUAGCCACCUUGAUUGUAACAAUUUCCUUACAUUUCGUAGGUGACCCAUCCCAUCUUAAGGAUAAGAAUGCCGAACUCCUUUCAAACCUUAGAUGCA